AUUGAACGCUGGCGGCAGGCUUAACACAUGCAAGUCGAGCGAGCGGCGGACGGGUGAGUAAUGUCUGGGAAACUGCCUGAUGGAGGGGGAUAACUACUGGAAACGGUAGCUAAUACCGCAUACCAUCAGAUGUGCCCAGAUUGGAUUAGCUAGUAGGUGGGGUAAUGGCUCACCGAGGCGACGCUCCCUAGCUGGUCUGAGAGGGUGACCGGCCAAGCGGGAACUGGGAAACGGUCCAGACGCCUACGGGAGGCAGCAGUGGGGAAUAUUGCACAAUGGGCGCAGGCCUGAUGCAGCCAUGCCGCGUGUGUGAAGAAGGCCUUCGGGUUGUAAAGCACUUUCAGCGAGGAGGCGUUACUCGCAGAAGAAGCAACGGCUAACUCCGUGCCAGCAGCCGCGGUAAUUC
rnacentral:rRNA from 1 species